GGAGGAAUAUUGGGCAAUGGGGGAAACCCUGACCCAGCAACGCCGCGUGAAGGAAGAAGGCCUUCGGGUUGUAAACUUCUGUGACAGGGGACGAAAAAAUGACGGUACCCUGAGAGGAAGCCACGGCAAACUACGUGCCAGCAGCCGCGGUAAUACGUAGGUGGCGAGCGUUGUCCGGAAUCACUGGGCGUAAAGGGCGCGUAGGCGGUUUAGCAAGUCGCAUGUGAAAUACCAGAGCUUAACUUUGGGGGUGCGUGCGAAACUGCUGGACUUGAGUGCAGUAGAGGUAAGCGGAAUUCCUGGUGUAGCGGUAAAAUGCGUAGAGAUCAGGAGGAACACCGGUGGCGAAGGCGGCUUACUGGGCUGCAACUGACGCUGAGGCGCGAAAGCGUGGGGAGCAAACA
rnacentral:rRNA from 1 species